GACGAACGCUGGCGGCGUGCUUAACACAUGCAAGUCGAACGGAAAGGCCCUGCUUUUGUGGGGUGCUCGAGUGGCGAACGGGUGAGUAACACGUGAGUAACCUGCCCUUGACUUUGGGAUAACUUCAGGAAACUGGGGCUAAUACCGGAUAGGAGCUCCUGCUGCAUGGUGGGGGGUGGAAAGUUUCGGCGGUUGGGGAUGGACUCGCGGCUUAUCAGCUUGUUGGUGGGGUAGUGGCUUACCAAGGCUUUGACGGGUAGCCGGCCUGAGAGGGUGACCGGCCACAUUGGGACUGAGAUACGGCCCAGACGCCUACGGGAGGAAGCAGUGGGGAAUAUUGCACAAUGGGCGGAAGCAGGAUGCAGCAGCGCCGCGGGCGGGAUGACGGCCGUCGGGGUGUAAACCGCUUUCUCCUGUGACGAAGCGUGAGUGACGGUAAUGGGUAAAGAAGCACCGGCUAACUACGUG
rnacentral:rRNA from 1 species